CCUAAUUUCACAAAACGCACACUACAUACGUUCAGAGAAAAGGAAAGAAAUAGUGAAGAGAGAAAGGGGAGCUCGAAGGGGGAAGAAGAGAGAUCGAGAGGGGGAGAUGGAGAAGUCGGGAGUCAGGGAGUAAGGGAAUAGGAGGAAGACGCUGGGAUGAUCAAGAAGGCUUUGACUUCGUCAUCCUCGUGCAUCCGUCGCUGCUACCAUCAUCGAUCAGAGUUGCUGCGCGUGGAGAGAAGGGGAGAUGACGUCGCUGUCUCUGUUUGGGAUUGCCGCCGCCGUUCAAUUCACUAUAGGAGGAGAACGCCACUGCGUGAAGCGAGGUGAUGAGUGAAGUAGAACGCGUACAGGAAGAAGGAGAACACGACGACUAGGAGGAGGCAGCGCCGCUGCCAUUGCUACUAGGGUUUGUCUUUGGAAUUCUUGGUCGCCGCUAUCAUUGCGGGUGAGUCAAUUCUAUCCUAGCUAUUAGAAUUACCAUUUCUGAACCCUUCUCACUUUGAAAUGAUCCUGUCUCGGCCUCUAAUAUUCCUAAUUAUACUAUAUUCGUUGGAAUCGCCACAAUUGGAGCUCAUCGCUAGAGAAGACAAACUGUUGCGCCAUCUUCUUCAUUUUGACUCUGAACCUCCAUUCAUAACCCUUGUUGCUGUGUUCUGCUGGAGUUGUCAAAAUUGUUGUUGUUAAGUGUGUGAUCACGGUUGAUGCUGCUGCCGCAUCCCAAUUAUGUUGGAAUUGUUGCUGCUGCUAUGAAUUCAAAAAGAGCAGGUUUAUCGUGGUUAAUUCCUUCCGGUUUAGCUAAUCGAGUGACAUAGGUUUGAAGAUGCAAUUUGAAGCUGCGAGCGAUUAGUAGGUUUUCUUUACGGUUUUAAUUGCUUUCAUAGAGUCCCCUCGCUCUUGUCCUUUGAGGUUCUAUUUUAACAGAGGGGUAGGUGUUGUAUUUGGGUUUAUAUGACUUCUUAUGUAUAAGAAUUACUAUUAACAAUACUUAUGUGAUUGUUAUUAUUACUUGCCAUGUUUAUCCUUGAUACAUGUCUUUAAUAAAUAAAAACAAAAAUUUUUCCGGUAUUUUCUUAAAACUGAAACGCGAAAUCGAUACAAAGGCUCAGUAACUAAGUAGUUAAUAUUAGAAAAGGUCAUGUAACGUUCUUUCUAGUAGAAAUACCCUGACUUAAGCAAGGUAUUUUGCUGGAAGGGAUGUUACACACCCCACCAUGGUAACAUCUUUCCUACCCUUUCUCUUUGUU